UAGCGAAGGGGGCUAGCGUUGUUCGGAAUUACUGGGCGUAAAGCGCACGUAGGCGGAUAUUUAAGUCAGGGGUGAAAUCCCAGAGCUCAACUCUGGAACUGCCUUUGAUACUGGGUAUCUUGAGUAUGGAAGAGGUAAGUGGAAUUGCGAGUGUAGAGGUGAAAUUCGUAGAUAUUCGCAGGAACACCAGUGGCGAAGGCGGCUUACUGGUCCAUUACUGACGCUGAGGUGCGAAAGCGUGGGGAGCAAACAGG
rnacentral:rRNA from 1 species